UGGGGAACGAGAGUACCAGUGAGUAUAGCUUUACGAGGUGACCUGUCUUUCAGUGAACGUAAAGUACUGAUGUAACCCAACUAUUGUUGUGUUGCAGAAUGAUCCUGAGUUCUCUGUCUUCAAGAUCAGAUAUGCUGAAUACCACAUAACCUAUUCUAUGGAUAGCCAACUAGGCCAUCUUCUGAUACAUAUGCAGCU